AAGGGGUGGGCAAGUUCUGGUGUCAGCCGCCGCGGUAAAACCAGCACCUCGAGUGGUCAGGAGGUUUAUUGGGCCUAAAGCAUCCGUAGCCGGUUGCAUAAGUUUUCGGUUAAAUCUAUGCGCUUNNNGUAUAGGCCGCCGAAAAUACUGUGCAGCUAGGGAGUGGGAGAGGUACACGGUACUCGAUAGGAAGGGGUAAAAUCCUUUGAUCUAUUGAUGACCACCUGUGGCGAAGGCGGUGUACCAGAACACGUUCGACGGUGAGGGAUGAAAGCUGGGGGAGCAAACCGGAUUAGAUACCCGGGUAGUCCCAGCUGUAAACGAUGCAGACUCGGUGAUGCAUUGGCUUGUGGCCAAUGCAGUGCCGCAGGGAAGCCGUUAAGUCUGCCGCCUGGGAAGUACGUACGCAAGUAUGAAACUUAAAGGAAUUGGCGGGGGAGCACCACNNNNNNUGAAGCCUGCGGUUCAAUUGGAGUCAACGCCAGAAAUCUUACCUGGGGAGACAGCAGAAUGAAGGUCAAGCUGAAGACUUUACCAGACACGCUGAGAGGUGGUGCAUGGCCGUCGCCAGCUCGUGCCGUGAGAUGUCCUGUUAAGUCAGGUAACGAGCGAGACCCCUGCGUCUAGUUGCUACCAUU
rnacentral:rRNA from 1 species